rnacentral:rRNA from 1 species
ACGGGAGGCGGCAGUGAGGAAUAUUGGUCAAUGGUCGGAAGACUGAACCAGCCAUGCCGCGUGAAGGAUUAAGGCCCUAUGGGUCGUAAACUUCUUUUGUACGGGAGCAAUAAGGUUUACGAGUAGACCGAUGAGAGUACCGUACGAAUAAGCAUCGGCUAACUCCGUGCCAGCAGCCGCGGUAAUACGGAGGAUGCAAGCGUUAUCCGGAUUUAUUGGGUUUAAAGGGUGCGUAGGCGGUUUGGUAAGUCAGCGGUGAAAUGUCCACGCUUAACGUGGAACGUGCCGUUGAUACUGCCGGACUUGAAUUUGGUUGCCGUGGGAGGAAUGUGUAGUGUAGCGGUGAAAUGCUUAGAUAUUACACAGAACACCGAUUGCGAAGGCAUCUCACGAAGCCGACAUUGACGCUGAGGCACGAAAGUGUGGGGAUCAAACAGGAUUAGAUACCCUGGUA